rnacentral:rRNA from 1 species
UACGAAGGGGCUAGCGUUGCUCGGAUUGACUGGGCGUAAAGGGCGCGUAGGCGGUUCGUACAGUCAGACGUGAAAUUCCUGGGCUCAACCUGGGGCUGCGUUUGAUACGUGCGGACUUGAGUGCGGAAGAGGGUCGUGGAAUUCCCAGUGUAGAGGUGAAAUUCGUAGAUAUUGGGAAGAACACCGGUGGCGAAGGCGGCGACCUGGUCCGAUACUGACGCUGAGGCGCGAAAGCGUGGGGAGCAAACAGG